rnacentral:rRNA from 1 species
CCUACGGGGGACAGCAGUGAGGAAUAUUGGUCAAUGGACGAGAGUCUGAACCAGCCAAGUAGCGUGAAGGAUGACUGCCCUAUGGGUUGUAAACUUCUUUUAUAUGGGAAUAAAAUGUUCCACGUGUGGGAUUUUGUAUGUACCAUAUGAAUAAGGAUCGGCUAACUCCGUGCCAGCAGCCGCGGUAAUACGGAGGAUCCGAGCGUUAUCCGGAUUUAUUGGGUUUAAAGGGAGCGUAGGUGGAUUGUUAAGUCAGUUGUGAAAGUUUGCGGCUCAACCGUAAAAUUGCAGUUGAAACUGCCAGUCUUGAGUACAGUAGAGGUGGGCGGAAUUCGUGGUGUAGCGGUGAAAUGCUUAGAUAUCACGAAGAACUCCGAUUGCGAAGGCAGUUCACUGGACUGCAACUGACACUGAGGCUCGAAAGUGUGGGUAUCAAACAGGAUUAGAUACCCUUGUAGUC